UCGUAACAAGGUUUCCGUAGGUGGACCUGCGGAAGGAUCAUUGUCGAACCCUCGCGGUAGAACGACUUGCUAACCUGUACCAAUUAUUGAUUCGAAUGUCGGGGCGCCGUCUUUCUGAUUUGCCCACGACGAACAAAAACACCGGCGCAGCAGCGCCAAGGAAUGUAAUAAUGAGUGUGCAACCUCGCAGAGCUUAGUUAUGCUGCCUGUGAGCUUUGCAUCCUUUUAAAUAAAAAUGACUCUCGGCAAUGGAUAUCUCGGCUCUUGCAUCGAUGAAGAACGUAGCGAAAUGCGAUACGUGGUGUGAAUUGCAGAAUCCCGCGAACCAUCGAAACUUUGAACGCAAGUUGCGCCUCAAGCCAUUCGGUUGAGGGCACGUAUGCUUGGGUGUCAUGCAUUAUGUCUCCCCUCUCGUGUGUGGAGUGGGAAUAGAUCCUGGCCUCCUGGGCCCUUCCUUGGGCGUGGUUGGCCGAAAAUGUUGUCCUUGAUUUUGUUGAUGUCUUGGUGUGCGGUGGAUGUGCCAGGUGUGCAUAGUUGCCAGCCUUGCUCGGCUUCAUUGUGGCGUCGGGAUCCUAUGAAGCUGCCGGUUUUGGCUCUUUGAUUGCGACCCCAAGUCAGGCGAGACUACCCGCUGAGUUUAAGCAUAUCAAUAAGCGGAGGAAA
rnacentral:rRNA from 1 species